AGAGUUUGAUCCUGGCUCAGGAUAAACGCUGGCGGCAUGCCUAAUACAUGCAAGUCGAACGAAGAAUAUGGAGCUUGCUCCAUAUUACUUAGUGGCGAACGGGUGAGUAACACGUAGUUAACCUAGCCAUUGGACUGGGACAACUUUUGGAAACGAAAGCUAAUACCGGAUAGGAAGAAAUUUUAAAGAAGCGUGUGCUU
rnacentral:rRNA from 1 species